GACGAACGCUGGCGGCGUGCUUAACACAUGCAAGUCGAACGAUGAAGCCUAGCUUGCUAGGUGGAUUAGUGGCGAACGGGUGAGUAAUACGUGAGUAACCUACCUUUAACUCUGGGAUAAGCCCGGGAAACUGGGUCUAAUACCGGAUACGACCAAUCUCCGCAUGGGGUGUUGGUGGAAAGCGUUAUGUAGUGGUUAUAGAUGGGCUCACGGCCUAUCAGCUUGUUGGUGAGGUAACGGCUCACCAAGGCGACGACGGGUAGCCGGCCUGAGAGGGUGACCGGCCACACUGGGACUGAGACACGGCCCAGACUCCUACGGGAGGCAGCAGUGGGGAAUAUUGCACAAUGGGCGCAAGCCUGAUGCAGCGACGCCGCGUGAGGGAUGACGGCCUUCGGGUUGUAAACCUCUGUUAGCAGGGAAGGAGAGAGAUUGACGGUACCUGCAGAGAAAGCGCCGGCUAACUACGUGCCAGCAGCCGCGGUAAUACGUAGGGCGCGAGCGUUGUCCGGAAUUAUUGGGCGUAAAGAGCUUGUAGGCGGUUUGUCGCGUCUGCUGUGAAAGGCCGGGGCUUAACUCCGUGUAUUGCAGUGGGUACGGGCAGACUAGAGUGCAGUAGGGGAGACUGGAAUUCCUGGUGUAGCGGUGGAAUGCGCAGAUAUCAGGAGGAACACCGAUGGCGAAGGCAGGUCUCUGGGCUGUAACUGACGCUGAGAAGCGAAAGCAUGGGGAGCGAACAGG
rnacentral:rRNA from 1 species